rnacentral:lncRNA from 10 species
CUGGAAAGGUAGGGAGGUAUGGAUAUGGACAAGCUAUGCCAAGGAGCAGGGCUUUGUCAUGGAGAGUGACUAGGUGCUUUUACAUAGGAAAGUCACCUGAUAAUAUUAAAACCUGUGAAAUAUCACUCUGGUGGAAGUGUGAAUGAAUUUGAAAGGGGUGUAACACUGUUCUACUUUGUUUACUCCUCAGUACCCUUGGCUGUGUACAUUUGAGUAAAGAGAGCACUAUAAAAUCAAAAACCAAUGAAAUGGUUUCCAGAACACAGAACUAUUAAGCUUAAGAAAAGGACAGAAGGAACUGAAGAGAGAGGAACUGUUUUGGAGCAUCACACUUCCACCUCAGAAGAAAUAAGGAAGGAAGGAGGAGGGUGUUCCCACGGCUCUUCAACCAGGCCGGCUCUUCAGCCUACAUCCCCAUCUCAUCAAGUAAAAGGGAUUUUUCAACUGGACCAACCAGAUGGUUUAACAGUGCACUCCCACACCAUUCAACUACGCAAGGGAGAUACACUUAACAUAUGCAGUCGUAUAACACCUACUAACAUUUUCAAACAUUAAACCUUUAAAAAAGAGUUCUAAAGAAAUAGAAGCUUGAAGUAUCAUCUCUCAAGUAUAUAGACACUACUUCAUGGUGUGGUAAUAUAUGCAUAUAGAAGCUAGUAAACACCUCCAGGAGAUGCAAAAGGAAUUAGAACUGCCACAAGGUGCAAGCAAAACCUUGAGCUUCUUUAAAAUAUGAAGACUUCGAAGUUAUUUAUCCAAACCAACCUGAUCAUUUCUUAAGAGUGAAUAUACCUUGGAAGACGUGUCCUGCCUUUAGUAGCGUCACAAUGGAUUACAUCCUCUAUAAAGCAGUCUGGGAUAUUCUGCCCAAUCAGAGGCUAACAUCUGCCACAAGACAAAUAUGGUGCCUGCCCCCAUGGAGCUCAUAUUCGAAUGGAGAAAAUGUCAACAAGUAUCCCACGGAGUGAACACUUCAAAAGGAGAAGCACAGGUGAGAAAAUCGAAUUUGGACACCGUUGAGGAGACUAUUGCAGUCAUCCAAGCUCAAGAUGGUGGAGCUUCAUCCUUGAGAAUAACCAAUGGGGAUAGAUUUAAGAGACACUUAGAGUCUGCAGCCAACAGGGCUGAAUGAGCAGAGAGUUAUGAUUCAGAAGAUCAUCUAAAAUUGAACAGCUGCCACUACUGGCAAUAAGUCUACUGCCAUUUGGUAGAUAACCUUCUUAUCACACAGAAAAAUAUCAGUACAGACAAAUAGACCGCAAAGAAAAUGAGACCAUCAGCAAAGAAGAUAAAGAAGUUUGUACAAAGCAACUUUUUAUAAAUGGAUGGCUGUCAGGCAAAAAUAAAUUUCCUGUGGACAAGACCAAGAGCAAGGCAAGAGGAAAAUAAACAUGUUUAAACUAUUGGAGAGUCCAUAAUUUAAAUAUAAACUCUUCUGUUGAGUGG